rnacentral:tRNA from 1 species
UGCGAGCGUAGUUCAACGGUAGAACGGUUGCUUUAUUUUCCCUCGAUUAAAUAACUCAAACUACUAUUCAGAUGCAGGUUCGACCCCUGCCGCUCGCAU